UUCACAAAAAAAGAAAUUCCAAAGCAGAAGUCCUGGUAUGUUACUAUUCCAGACAAAUCUCAUAUGAGAAAGCACUAAAGAUAAUUGAAACAUUAAUUUAAUAAUUAAUUAAUUAAAAUAAUACAGUCCUGGAUGUCUUUUUUGUGCUUUCUUUAAUUUCUUUCCAGCUAUAUAUAAAUGUGUCUUGGUAUGAAUUUAAGUGCCUGGGAAUGAAUAGUACUGUCCCCCAGGAUAAUAAGUUAUUAGCAAAUUAAUACCUUGCUUCUGUUAGUUGUCAACAUGUUGCAAGUAAACAUUGUUGAUAGGCACUGUGGAUCUACUAAGGGUAAGAUAUCAUCCUUUCACAAAAGGAUAGCUAUUAAACCUGACUGUAGGUAAAGUUAAAUUGCAACUAAACAUAUGUAGACAUAUACUAAGAUUUUAAACAUUACACAAUAUUUCUGACCAAUAAAAUAUAAACUAGAGUCUAAACUGUUUGGUUAAGAAUUUCAUUGCUAGAGUACCCUUACAAGUUCUAACUGAAUUUCCAAAAAUCUAACAUUUUGUUCUCAAUAAAAUAAAAUGUGUUUAAUAAAUAUGAAGCAAAAAACAAAAUCCUAAACAAAAGCAAACACUGUUGAUCAGUCAAUUUAACAUGGAAUAUUAUUGCUAUUAUUUUUAUUGACCAAUAAUUUAUUUCCUGAGUUUUCUUCCCAGAUAUGGACACUAUUGAUGGGAGCGGCUGGCCAUCUGGAGUGGCAGUUGCCAUCAUGCCAGUAGCGCUUGGGCCGCAUGGGCAGUGUUGUCAGGAGCAGCAGCAGGAGCAGCAGCAGGAGCAGCAGUGGCGGUGGUAGGACCCCGUUCCCUGUGUCCCCAAGGCAUCUGACUGCGCCGCCGCCCCCUAAUGGCUGGGCAGGACCCACUCCCAGGUGCAGACCCUCCAUGGCGGCCUCAAUUUCGCUUCCUACCACAUCUGGGAGCCCAUCAGCGCUGGCAGCCGGGUCUUGCAGGAUUGGCCCCAGGAGCAUCAGGUUCAUUUGUGCGGCAUUAGCCAGGGCCCCCAUGCCACCUGCACCUCGCCCAUGCACUACCGCAGGGAAAACGCAGAGAGGAGUCACGGCCAAGGCUGCACACUCUAUGGAGCCAGUGGCAGCUGGGGACAAGUGGGAGCCCAGCCCCUUCCAAGUUGCCAGGGCAGGAACUCCCCAGGCGCAACUGCAGCUGCCCAAGGAGGGUCUGCGACCCAGGCACUCCUGUGCUCUUGGGAGCCAGGAGAAGGCAGGAGCCCCACCCUCCCAGGCACAGCUGGAGCCUUUCAAGCCACGGCUGCAGACCCAGGCACCUCUGCACUCUUGGGGCCUGGGAAGGCCCCCGUGACCACACAGGCUCGGAAGUGCCUGCACCCACUGUCUGGGUUCUCCUCGCUGUCAGCACCUGCUCCAGUCUUCGAGCAAAGUUGAGGUCGAGCACACUAUAUUGUGACCAAUAUAAAAUAGAUAUAAAAAUACCUCUUACACUUAAAUCCAGGCAUUGUCAUUUGAAUGACUUAAGAAUAUGCAGCUAAGGUGCUUUUAAAAAUACAAGCUAGUGAUUAUACUGAAUUUGUAAAUCACGUAGGAUAGUGAGUCAUUUUAGAAUAUUAAUUAUUUCAGUCCAUAAACCUGGAUGUCUUUCCUUUUUUGUGUUUUCUUUAAUUUCUUUCAUUGAUGUUUGUAAUUUUUGUUGUAGAAAUCUUUUACUUCCUCGGUUAAGUUUAUUUCUAAGUACAUUUUUAUAGCUAUUGUAAAAGAAAUAGCUUCCUUAAUUUUUUUUCUGCUAGUUUACUAUCAACAUAUAGAAAUGCUACUGUUUUUUGUAUGUUGAUUUUAUAUCCUGCAGCUUUAUUAAAUUCAUUUAUCACUCUAAGAAGUUUUAGGUAGAGUCCUUAGUUUCUUCCGUGUAUGAGAUCACAUUGUCUGCAAACAGGGAUAAUUUGACUGUCUCCUUUCCAAUUCAGAUGCCCUUUAUUUCUUUCUCUAACCUAAUUGCCCUGGCUAAGACUUUCACUAUGUGAAAUAUGAUUGGUGAAAGUGGGCCUCCUUUUCUUGCUCCAGUUUUCAUGGUCACAUUUUUCACCUUUUCCACGUUCAAUAUGAUCUUAGCUGUAGGGUUGUCUUUACGCCCUUUUGUGUUGAGGCAUAUGUUUUCUAUACUAAAUUGUUUAGAGGCUUUUGUCAUGUAAGAAUGUUUAAUUUUGCCAAAUGCUUUCAUUGUGUUUAUUGAUUUAAUCAUAAGGUUUUCAAUAUAUAUCCAAAGGAAAGAAAAUCAAUAUAUCAAAGCCUUACCUGCACCCCCAUGUUUAUUACAGCACUAUUCACAAUAGCCAAGAUAUGGAAUCAACAUAAGUGUCCAUCAACAGAUGAAUGGAUAAAGAAAAUGUGACAUACAUAUAUAAUGGAAUACUAUUAAGUUAUAAUAAAGAACAAAAUCCUGUCAUUUGUGGCAACAUGAAUGCAACUGGAGGGCAUUAUCUUAGGUGAAAUAAGCCUGGCAUAGAAAAAUAAACACCACAGGCCAGGUGCGGUGGCUCACGCCUGUAAUCCCAG
rnacentral:lncRNA from 1 species